rnacentral:rRNA from 1 species
GGGAACGUAUUCACCGCAGCGUUGCUGAUCUGCGAUUACUAGCGACUCCGACUUCAUGGGGUCGAGUUGCAGACCCCAAUCCGAACUGAGACCGGCUUUAAGGGAUUCGCUCCACCUUGCGGUAUCGCAGCCCUCUGUACCGGCCAUUGUAGCAUGUUUGCAGCCCAAGACAUAAGGGGCAUGAUGACUUGACGUCAUCCCCACCUUCCUCCGAGUUGACCCCGGCAGUCUCCCAUGAGUCCCCAACCACCCGAAGGUGUUGCUGGCAACAUGGAACGAGGGUUGCGCUCGUUGCGGGACUUAACCCAACAUCUCACGACACGAGCUGACGACAGCCAUGCACCACCUGUGCACGGCCCUUACGGACCCACCAUCUCUGGAGGAUUUCCGUGCAUGUCAA